GAUGAACGCUGGCGGCGUGCCUAAUACAUGCAAGUCGAGCGAACAGACGAGGAGCUUGCUCCUCUGACGUUAGCGGCGGACGGGUGAGUAACACGUGGAUAACCUACCUAUAAGACUGGGAUAACUUCGGGAAACCGGAGCUAAUACCGGAUAAUAUAUUGAACCGCAUGGUUCAAUAGUGAAAGACGGUUUUGCUGUCACUUAUAGAUGGAUCCGCGCCGCAUUAGCUAGUUGGUAAGGUAACGGCUUACCAAGGCAACGAUGCGUAGCCGACCUGAGAGGGUGAUCGGCCACACGGGAACUGAGACACGGUCCAGACUCCUACGGGAGGCAGCAGUAGGGAAUCUUCCGCAAUGGGCGAAAGCCUGACGGAGCGACGCCGCGUGAGUGAUGAAGGUCUUCGGAUCGUAAAACUCUGUUAUGAGGGAAGAACAAAUGUGUAAGUAACUAUGCACGUCUUGACGGUACCUAAUCAGAAAGCCACGGCUAACUACGUG
rnacentral:rRNA from 1 species